rnacentral:rRNA from 1 species
UGGGGAAUUUUGGACAAUGGGCGAAAGCCUGAUCCAGCAAUGCCGCGUGUGUGAAGAAGGCCUUCGGGUUGUAAAGCACUUUUGUCCGGAAAGAAAUCCUUGGCUCUAAUACAGUCGGGGGAUGACGGUACCGGAAGAAUAAGCACCGGCUAACUACGUGCCAGCAGCCGCGGUAAUACGUAGGGUGCAAGCGUUAAUCGGAAUUACUGGGCGUAAAGCGUGCGCAGGCGGUUUGCUAAGACCGAUGUGAAAUCCCCGGGCUCAACCUGGGAACUGCAUUGGUGACUGGCAGGCUAGAGUAUGGCAGAGGGGGGUAGAAUUCCACGUGUAGCAGUGAAAUGCGUAGAGAUGUGGAGGAAUACCGAUGGCGAAGGCAGCCCCCUGGGCCAAUACUGACGCUCAUGCACGAAAGCGUGGGGAGCAAACAGGAUUAGAUACCCUGGUAGUCCACGCCCUAAACGAUGUCAACUAGUUGUUGGGGAUUCAUUUCCUUAGUAACGUAGCUAACGCGUGAAGUUGACUGCCUGGGGAGUACGGUCGCAAGAUUAAAACUCAAAGGAAUUGACGGGGUCAUAGCUGUUUCCU